UUUAGGACUUGCUAGACCCACAGCCCCAGGGGUCUACCCACCAGAGAAAGUAACAAAGCCUAUGCCCCUAAAAACCCGCCGACGCAGGGCAGUCCCAAGGAAGACCACCAGCAAGGCUAAAAGGACAAAUACCAAACAGUUAAAGAAAUACUGCUGCAAACAAUGCAGGCAGGCUCCUUAUCUAAAAAUCUUAUUCGAGUCAUGUGAACAGAAAGACUUAAACUAAGUGCCAGGCAGGUAGUUAAUCACCAUAACUACGAACAAUCACGCUUAAGCUACAUAACCUUUACUUAGGCCAUAGAAUAGGAAAAUCUCCUUCAGUUAUUUCCUUAUAGCUUAACAGUAGAGCAGUAGAAUAGUGACCUUGGAAUAAAAAUAACAAACUAGCCCUUAUAAUGAAACACAGAGACUAACCUUUAGAAUAGAAUGUAGAAACAUAGACAAUAGAUAAGAUAAAAAUCAACAGAGCUAGAUAGAGAUAAGAUUUUUAUCAAAGGUCAGAUAAGAAAACAAGGAACUGUAAAAGGUCAA